AGUUUGAUCCUGGCUCAGGAUGAACGCUGGCGGUAUGCUUAACACAUGCAAGUCGAACGGUCUUUUAGGAGACAGUGGCGGACGGGUGAGUAACGCGUAAGAAUCUACCUUCAGGUUGGGGACAACCACUGGAAACGGUGGCUAAUACCGAAUGUGCCGAGAGGUGAAAGGCUUGCUGCCUGAAGAAGAGCUUGCGUCUGAUUAGCUAGUUGGUAGUGUAAGAGACUACCAAGGCGACGAUCAGUAGCUGGUCUGAGAGGAUGAUCAGCCACACUGGGACUGAGACACGGCCCAGACUCCUACGGGAGGCAGCAGUGGGGAAUUUUCCGCAAUGGGCGAAAGCCUGACGGAGCAAUACCGCGUGAGGGAGGAAGGCUCUUGGGUUGUAAACCUCUUUUCUCAGGGAAGAACAGAAUGACGGUACCUGAGGAAUAAGCAUCGGCUAACUCCGUGCCAGCAGCCGCGGUAAUACGGAGGAUGCAAGCGUUAUCCGGAAUGAUUGGGCGUAAAGGGUCCGCAGGUGGCAUUGUAAGUCUGCUGUUAAAGAGUUUGGCNAACCAAAUAAGAGCAGUGGAAACUACAAAGCUAGAGUGUGGUCGGGGCAGAGGGAAUUCCUGGUGUAGCGGUGAAAUGCGUAGAUAUCAGGAAGAACACCAGUGGCGAAGGCGCUCUGCUAGGCCGAGACUGACACUGAGGGACGAAAGCUAGGGGAGCGAAUGGGAUUAGAUACCCCAGUAGUCCUAGCCGUAAACGAUGGAUACUAGGCGUAGCUCGUAUCGACCCGAGCUGUGCCGGAGCUAACGCGUUAAGUAUCCCGCCUGGGGAGUACGCAGGCAACUGUGAAACUCAAAGGAAUUGACGGGGGCCCGCACAAGCGGUGGAGUAUGUGGUUUAAUUCGAUGCAACGCGAAGAACCUUACCAAGGCUUGACAUGUCACGAAUCCUAUUGAAAGAUGGGAGUGCCUUCGGGAGCGUGAACACAGGUGGUGCAUGGCUGUCGUCAGCUCGUGUCGUGAGAUGUUGGGUUAAGUCCCGCAACGAGCGCAACCCUCGUUUUUAGUUGCCAGCAUUAAGAUGGGCACUCUAGAGAGACUGCCGGUGACAAACCGGAGGAAGGUGGGGAUGACGUCAAGUCAGCAUGCCCCUUACGUCUUGGGCUACACACGUACUACAAUGCUCCGGACAAAGGGCAGCUACACAGCGAUGUGAUGCGAAUCUCAUAAACCGGAGCUCAGUUCAGAUCGAAGGCUGCAACUCGCCUUCGUGAAGGAGGAAUCGCUAGUAAUUGCAGGUCAGCAUACUGCAGUGAAUUCGUUCCCGGGCCUUGUACACACCGCCCGUCACACCAUGGAAGUUGGUCACGCCCGAAGUCGUUACCCCAACCUAUUGGAGGGGGAUGCCUAAGGUAGGACUGAUGACUGGGGUGAAGUCGUAACAAGGUAG
rnacentral:rRNA from 1 species